rnacentral:rRNA from 1 species
CCUACGGGAGGCAGCAGUGAGGAAUAUUGGUCAAUGGGCGGGAGCCUGAACCAGCCAAGCCGCGUGAGGGAAGAAGGUACAGCGUAUCGUAAACCUCUUUUGUCAGGGAACAAAGGCGGGGACUAGUCCCCGGAUGAGCGUACCUGAAGAAAAAGCAUCGGCUAACUCCGUGCCAGCAGCCGCGGUAAUACGGAGGAUGCGAGCGUUAUCCUGAUUUGUUGGGUUUAAGGGGUGCGUAGGCGGCCUGUUAAGUCAGCGGUAAAAGCCCGGGGCUCAACCCCGGCGCGCCGUUGAAACUGGCAGGCUGGAGUUGGAGAGAAGUAAGCGGAAUGCGAGGUGAAGCGGUGAAAUGCGUAGAUAUCGCGAAGAACCCCGAGUGCGAAGGCAGCGUACCGGCUCCACACUGACGCUGAGGCACGAAAGCGUGGGUAUCGAACAGGAUUAGAUACCCUUGUAGUC